GGGGCACUGCGCCAGCAGCGGUGCCACGACCUUCUCUCAGCUCAUCAAGCACAGUGACAUACAUUGUAUAGCAGCUGUGUUUGGUAUUGCAGCUCAGCCCCAUUUACUUCAAUGGGGCUGAGCU